GAAUGUAGUAUAGUGGUUUGAGUACUGGAUUACAACUCUGGAGAUCAGGGUUCGAUUCCCAGCUCA